rnacentral:lncRNA from 1 species
CCAUGUGUGCUAGCGAAAUGUCUUUAGUGUAAUCUCGGAGUGUAAUUUUUAUUUCAACUUUUACGUUUGCUUCAGCACAACCUAAAACACGAAAACUUUCAUUUUCUUGUAAGAAUGAGAUUCGUUACUUCAAACAAAAAUCGCUUUUAUCUUUUUUUUUUUUUUUUUUUUUUUGCAGUAAAAGACCGGUUUCUUAAAAAAAACUUUCAUACAAUCGACUAAACGAAGUAUAAGCUUCGGGAAGGUCAAGGAUUAUA